rnacentral:rRNA from 1 species
CAGUAGCCGCGGUAAUACGUAGGGUGCAAGCGUUAAUCGGAAUUACUGGGCGUAAAGCGUGCGCAGGCGGUUUGUUAAGACAGAUGUGAAAUCCCCGGGCUCAACCUGGGAACUGCAUUUGUGACUGGCAAGCUAGAGUGUGGCAGAGGGGGGUGGAAUUCCGCGUGUAGCAGUGAAAUGCGUAGAUAUGCGGAGGAGCACCGAUGGCGAAGGCAGCCCCCUGGGCCAACACUGACGCUCAUGCACGAAAGCGUGGGGAGCAAACAGGAUUAGAUACCCGUGUAGUCCCUGUCUCUUAUAC